CACCCCUUGCAGGCAAGGAAUCUGCAGCCAAGUGGUCGGAGUUUACCAAAAGACCAGCACCCCGGGAAAAUACCAAUACUACAAUUCUAGGUGGGAGACCCACAUUGUGGGCUACGUGGCUCGCACCAACUACGACGACUACGCCUUCCUUGCCUGGA